rnacentral:tRNA from 2 species
UCCCUCGUCGCCCAACAGGCAGGGCAGCGCACUGUUAAUGCGUACUGGUGUCAGUUCGAAUCUGACCGAGGGAG